GACGAACGCUGGCGGCGUGCUUAACACAUGCAAGUCGAACGCUGAAGCCCAGCUUGCUGGGUGGAUGAGUGGCGAACGGGUGAGUAACACGUGAGUAACCUGCCCCCUUCUUUGGGAUAACGCCCGGAAACGGGUGCUAAUACUGGAUAUUCACUGAUCUUCGCAUGGGGGUUGGUGGAAAGGUUUUUUCUGGUGGGGGAUGGGCUCGCGGCCUAUCAGCUUGUUGGUGGGGUGAUGGCCUACCAAGGCUUUGACGGGUAGCCGGCCUGAGAGGGUGACCGGUCACAUUGGGACUGAGAUACGGCCCAGACUCCUACGGGAGGCAGCAGUGGGGAAUAUUGCACAAUGGGCGAAAGCCUGAUGCAGCGACGCCGCGUGAGGGAUGACGGCCUUCGGGUUGUAAACCUCUUUCGCUCAUGGUCAAGCCGCAACUGUGGGUUGUGGUGAGGGUAGUGGGUAAAGAAGCGCCGGCUAACUACGUGCCAGCAGCCGCGGUAAUACGUAGGGCGCGAGCGUUGUCCGGAAUUAUUGGGCGUAAAGGGCUUGUAGGCGGUUGGUCGCGUCUGCCGUGAAAUCCUCUGGCUUAACUGGGGGCGUGCGGUGGGUACGGGCUGACUUGAGUGCGGUAGGGGAGACUGGAACUCCUGGUGUAGCGGUGGAAUGCGCAGAUAUCAGGAAAGAACACCGGUGGCGAAGGCGGGUCUCUGGGCCGUUACUGACGCUGAGGAGCGAAAAGCGUGGGGAGCGAAACAGG
rnacentral:rRNA from 1 species